UCAGAGAAAACAAGCAACCCUACAAUAUGAAUUACCAAAACCAAUCCACAGUUUCAUCUUAAUUCUCAAAUCUUGAACAAUUUUCACUGAUAUAGUGUGCGUGUGUGUUCAACAUCUAUGAAAACUGAUAGACUCCAAUUCAACACAUAAGUAAUUUCUUAGAAGGACUCAUACAGUGAAAACUAAAAAAUGUCAAAAAUAG
rnacentral:lncRNA from 1 species